CCUACGGGAGGCUGCAGUGAGGAAUAUUGGUCAAUGGCCGAGAGGCUGAACCAGCCAAGUCGCGUGAGGGAAGAAUGUCCUAUGGAUUGUAAACCUCUUUUGUCAGGGAGAAAAGUCACCACCGUGUGGGUGUUGGAGAGUACCUGAAGAAAAAGCAUCGGCUAACCCUGUGCCAGCAGCCGCGGUAAUACGGAGGAUGCGAGGGUUAUCCGGAUUUAUUGGGUUUAAGGGGUGCGUAGGCGGGUUAUCAAGUCAGCGGUAAAAUCGUGGAGCUCAACUGCAUCCAGCCGUUGAAACUGAUGAUCUUGAGUGGGCGUGAAGUGUGCGGAAUGCGUGGUGUAGCGGUGAAAUGCAUAGAUAUCACGCAGAACACCGAUUGCGAAGGCAGCAUACGGGCGCCCGACUGACGCUGAAGCACGAAAGCGUGGGUAUCGAACAGGAUUAGAUACCCUUGUAGUC
rnacentral:rRNA from 1 species